CUGUAGCUUAGCGGUAAAGCAUCUGUUUCGUAAGCAGAAGAUCGGGAGUUCAAUUCUCCUUUCGG
rnacentral:ncRNA from 11 species